rfam:Phlebotomus papatasi Contig58896.1, whole genome shotgun sequence.
AAACCGGCCCUUUUUAGGGCCACAAUUCAAUUGCAUUGAGAGUUUU